rnacentral:rRNA from 1 species
GAUGAACGCUGGCGGCGUGCCUAAUACAUGCAAGUCGAGCGAACAGACGAGGAGCUUGCUCCUCUGACGUUAGCGGCGGACGGGUGAGUAACACGUGGAUAACCUACCUAUAAGACUGGGAUAACUUCGGGAAACCGGAGCUAAUACCGGAUAAUAUAUUGAACCGCAUGGUUCAAUAGUGAAAGACGGUUUUGCUGUCACUUAUAGAUGGAUCCGCGCCGCAUUAGCUAGUUGGUAAGGUAACGGCUUACCAAGGCAACGAUGCGUAGCCGACCUGAGAGGGUGAUCGGCCACACUGGAACUGAGACACGGUCCAGACUCCUACGGGAGGCAGCAGUAGGGAAUCUUCCGCAAUGGGCGAAAGCCUGACGGAGCAACGCCGCGUGGGUGAUGAAGGUCUUCGGAUCUUAAAACUCUGUUAUUAGGGAAGAACAAAUGUGUAAGUAACUAUGCACGUCUUGACGGUACCUAAUCAGAAAGCCACGGCUAACUACGUG